CAAAGGCAUGGUUGUGUGAGGAAAGGGGAAGGGAUGGCGGCCCACCUCACCCUUGCCCCAGCAGUGAAAGGAGAUCUUCUCUCAGGUGUUAAAGCUGGGCUUGAAUCUUCUCCAAGGACCAGCCAGUGAUGCUGGUGGUGAGAUGUAACAGAACAUGCCUCUGAGAGCUUCUUGUGUUAUUAUAAUUAAUAAUAAUAUUUAUUAAUUAUUAUUUAAAUCUGCACAGCUGUUGCUUCUGUGGUCCCCAGGGCAGAGCAGGCUCCACUUGCCCGUGCAGAUAACAGUGAAUUCAGCAAGGUCUCCUCCCCUCGUCCUCCCAAGGACAGCAGGCCUUGGAGCUCUUUGCUCUUCGUUAUCUGUGCAAGGGCAGCAGCAGCAGCCCUUCUGUACAGCAAACUGUGCAAGAUGUCAGUGUGCUCAGAUACUGAGGGGUAGGAGAGGGAUUUGCAUCUCCUGUGGUGUCAGACACUAUGAAGAUGCGGUUCCAGGUUGGUCAGAGUCACCUCUAGGGCUGGUCCUCAGAGGUGGUGCAGUUGGUGGUCCUGAUAACAGGGCAGACCUAAAGGAUGUGGGGUUGAACUGCAGGGAGCACAGGGAUGUAAUAAAUUUGCUUUGAUUUGUGCUGUACUAUGCUCUGUUCACCUGGAACUUCAGUUUCUAGAGUUGUCAGUUCUUGGAAAUUUUCCACUUUUAAUGAAAGCAAAGCAGGGAAUAUGGCAAGUAAGUUUGAAUUUGCAAGCAUGACUGAUCAAUUCUGGAUGAUAUCAAAAUUAACUUACAGCAUGGUUUAAAGCAGUAUCUUCAAAGUGGAAUUCAAAUUGGACCCCAAAUCUGAAUCCUCUUAAGGCUCAAGUUGGUCUGAUCUGGAAAUGAUGGGAAGAGACCAAAACAAGGAGAAUUGCCCGAGUGAUUAUGUGAGCCUGCACGAGGGCAUGGUUCAAAGCCAAACGCUCCAGCCUGCCUCGAUAAACAACCACCCAGCUGAAAAAGAGCGGCGAAUACAAAGGCGCAGCAACCUGCUGGCUCGAGGAAAAAUGCAAACCAAACUGGCAUUGUUGUGAGCUGCCGAGAGCGGGGAAGGCUGUGCCAAAUGGCAUCAUGCGAGUGACAAGCGCGCAGGAAAUUUAAUAAAAUGCAGUGCCAUGCUGAAGAGCAGCAGUGGCAGGAGCAGCCAUCAUGCUGAACCUUGCAAUCGCAAUCCUAUUACCCCACCGCCACCUGGGGCUUCCCUUGGCUCCGGUGCUGAGAGAGUGGCUUUCUUCCUCCCAUUUGUAUUCAAAUAGCGUCCCCGUUUGUAACUGCAUCCCUGUCCUAUAGCAGGCAGUGGACGUGGGCAGAAUACAGAAAGCCAGGCAGAAUCACCUGCUCACCAAGACCUGCUGCGGCUGCCGACCGCAGAUCAGGCUGGGGAGAUUGAUUUGCCUGAGCAAUUGGGGAUAUUGACAGCACGGAGCACCAGUUAGGAGGCUUAGAAUUAGUCCUUCCUUCUCAGUUCAGGUUUGCAGACGCAUGUCACGCGCUGAGCAAUAUGUGGGCAUUUGCAAGGCUUCCCUUCCCUCAGCAUCUCUGGCCUGAAGUGUCAGACACCAGGACAGUCACUGGUCCUGAACAAGGGACGGGAAGCUUACAGUAGUACAGGAAUCUGCAAAUAAUAGGGGAUUUGUUAUUUGCACAAGAAGAGGUGGAUCGGAAUUGCUUUUAUCUGGAUUUCAAGCAUGAUUUCCUGGAGGUCUUUGCAUCCCAGAGCUGUCAUUUUGUGCAUUGUAAAGAUGAGGGGCCUUUGGAAAAACAUGGGUCUGGCUUGGAUUCAACCAUCCUCAGAAUUAAUGAGUCUUUGCUUUAGCACCAGCCCCAUAAGCAGCUUAAUCUCUUACCUUUGCUUCAGAAAUAAAAGUUUUGGAAGUUGAUAGUUAUCAGGAAUGGAAAGCGAGAUGUAACCCCUGAAGACCUGUGACAGCAAAUCAGUGACUUCAGCAAUGUUUCUGUGUUAGAAUGAGCACUGGGGAAGAAUAUGCCGUCCGUUUGUCUAAUCUGGGUCCCACUUCAAGUAUAACACAAGGGUAAGGUAAGGGGUAACAUGCUCAAUCAGAGUGAAAUCUGUGUUUGUUACAUCACCCCACAUUUUGUAACACUAUUGUAGAUCUUGCUUGGGAAAAAUGACCACAUUUUUUGCCUAAAAAAGAAAUUUGUGGAUUUUUUUUUUUUUUUUUUGUAUGGUAUGUAUUAAAGCUGGCUGUUGUCACUUAUGACACUGUUCCUUUAACUUGCUCUGCUUGACACUAUGAAUUAUUCAGAUAUCCCUAUGAUAUAUAGAAGUAGUGUCAGCAUUUUAGGGCAUGGCUCUCCUUUCUCAUCUGCUAUAAAAUCCCAGUGGCUUCAGUGAGCAAUAAAAGAAGGCAAAAUUAGGUCCUCAGCAAAGUUGUUGUCUUGCAAGCAGAAAAUACACUUUACCACCGAGUGAAGGGUGCAGUACCAACGGGCCUCACUUACUGUACAAAACUGGGUAUUUGUAUUUCCCCGGUCCGUCAGCACAGCUAAGGGGUCAUUUGUUCAUUUGGUUCACAAUGGAAAUGAGAAAUAAGAGUGUAAAGAACACAGUGGAUAGCGUAGCAUAGUCUAUUUUCUCUCUUGCAGAACUGCUUAGGUUUCAUCGACCUCAUGCUGCUAAUACUGACGGCCUCAUUUGCUUGAAUAGCGAGGUGUCUGUUUUGUAUCUGCCAGUGCCAAGCUCAGCGCAGAGCUGGGCUGGGAAAAAGCAGGAUGCUGGUGGAGCAAAGUGGCAGUGGGGCACUCCAGAAGAGCCCAGGAGUUUGCUGCGUCCCCCAGGUCACGGGGGAAACCUGCCAAGCUCAGAGGAUGAUCAGUCUACAGUGUUCCCUAGGAGCAGUGCUGAUAUUUUUCAAUUCUUGAGUAAAUUUUUCACCUUUUUCUUUUUUUCUUUUUUAAACCAAUGAAAACAAAGAUCAUUCAGCUGAAACCAGUCUGAAUUCAUUGCCAUCCGUGGAACAGCACUCUGCCUCAUCCGAAACACCUGCAAAGGGUUGUAGGAGAAAUACAAACAAAGGAGGAGAGA